rnacentral:lncRNA from 1 species
CUACCCUGAGCAUCCAAGAGGGAGACAGCGCUGUUAUCAACUGUACUUAUUCAGACAGUGCUUCAACCUACUUCCCUUGGUAUAAGCAAGAAGUCGGAAAAGGUCCCCAGCAUAUUAUAGACAUUCGUUCAAAUAAGGAGAUAAAUCAAAUCCAAAGAUUCAUUGUUGAGUUGGAUAAGAAAACCAAACACUUCUCCCUGAACAUCACAGCCACCCAUCCUGGAGACUCAGCUGUCUACUUCUGUGCAGCCAGAACACGAUGCUUCACAGACACCUGCAGCCUGUACUCAAACUUGCCACUGGGCUGAGCCCCACCUGCUUCCUUUUUG